UACAGAGGUCUCAAGCGUUGUUCGGAGUCAUUGGGCGUAAAGGGUGCGUAGGCGGCGCGGUAAGUCGGGUGUGAAAUCUCGGAGCUUAACUCCGAAACUGCAUUCGAUACUGCCGUGCUUGAGGACUGGAGAGGAGACUGGAAUUUACGGUGUAGCGGUGAAAUGCGUAGAUAUCGUAAGGAAGACCAGUGGCGAAGGCGGGUCUCUGGACAGUUCCUGGCGCUGAGGCACGAAGGCCAGGGGAGCAAACGGG
rnacentral:rRNA from 1 species